AAGGAAGAAAUUUUACCUUUCUUUCUCAUUUCUCCCCUCCCCUUAUGUACUUUUUGAUAUCUCUCAUUUCAUUUCCUUUAUAACUCAUAAAUAAAACCUAAGAGAGGGUUGAACAUGGAAGAGGGAAAAAUCAACCAGUUUAGAGCAUAUUUGGAACACUGUCCAAAGUAUUAGACAUUGAACAUGUCUACAGCUUCCACGACAACAAGAUUGAAUUGGAAAUGGUAACCUAGAUGACGACGUCAGCGAUGACAACGAGGCAC
rnacentral:lncRNA from 1 species